rnacentral:lncRNA from 1 species
GUCAAAUCUUUCACAGCCUUGUAACAAUUUUGCUUAAUUUAAUUUCCUUUUGUUUAAUAUAAUUUCCCUUCUUUUAAUCUAAUUUCCUAUGUUGUGUUUUAAUAGAAGAUGAAAAGUAAAAAAAAAAAAAACACAAUGUCAAGAACAAGGACAAAAGAGAGAAAUACCCACACAUAUAUCCAGGCUCUUCUGAUUAAAUACUGGGCUUUGUUGUCUACGCUAUGCGCUGCAGGACGUUAUCUUCAGUUGUCUAUAAGCACACGGGAAACAGCAACUGAUUCAGGCUUUUGUGUGGCAGAGGUCUCUGUCCAAGAAGAGGAAACAAUUGGGGAAAAGGUGUGGAACACUCCAUCUUCAAAGAGCAUGGCAUGGGACAGGGUGCAAAACUAUCCUUGGAGAUGUUUGCUGUGAGAAUAAGAAUAAAGUAUCCAGGUAAGGGGAAUACCUGAUUUUU